rnacentral:rRNA from 1 species
CCUACGGGAGGCAGCAGUGGGGAAUCUUACGCAAUGGGCGAAAGCCUGACGCAGCCAUGCCGCGUGAAUGAUGAAGGUCUUAGGAUUGUAAAAUUCUUUCACCGGGGACGAUAAUGACGGUACCCGGAGAAGAAGCCCCGGCUAACUUCGUGCCAGCAGCCGCGGUAAUACGAAGGGGGCUAGCGUUGCUCGGAAUUACUGGGCGUAAAGGGAGCGUAGGCGGAUAGUUUAGUCAGAGGUGAAAGCCCAGGGCUCAACCUUGGAAUUGCCUUUGAUACUGGCUAUCUUGAGUGUGGGAGAGGUAUGUGGAACUCCGAGUGUAGAGGUGAAAUUCGUAGAUAUUCGGAAGAACACCAGUGGCGAAGGCGACAUACUGGCCCAUUACUGACGCUGAGGCUCGAAAGCGUGGGGAGCAAACAGGAUUAGAUACCCUGGUAGUCCACGCUGUAAACGAUGAGUGCUAGUUGUCGGCAGGCAUGCCUGUCGGUGACGCAGCUAACGCAUUAAGCACUCCGCCUGGGGAGUACGGUCGCGAGAUUAAAACUCAAAGGAAUUGACGG